AAAGAGUAUUAUACAAAUGCUUUGACUGCGGCCAAGGAGGCUGAAGCAUUAGCAGAGGCACGUGCCAAUAGUGAAGCUAGAACUGAAUUGGAGAGUCGUUUGAGAGAGGCUGAGGAGCGUGAGAGUAUGCUAGUUCAGGCACUUGAAGAAUUAAGACAAACUUUGAGUAGAAAGGAGCAGCAGGCUGUUUUUAGAGAAGACAUGCUUCAGAGGGACAUUGAGGACCUUCAAAAACGUUAUCAAGCAAGUGAGCGCCGGUGCGAGGAGUUGGUUACUCAAGUUCCUGAAUCUACAAGACCUCUUCUAAGGCAGAUAGAAGCAAUGCAGGAAACAAUGGCCAGGAGGGCUGAAGCUUGGUCUGCUGUGGAGAGAUCUCUAAAUUCUCGACUCCAGGAGGCAGAAGCCAAAUCUGCAACUGCUGAGGAAAGAGAGCGAUCUGUGGUUGAACGCUUGUCACAAACCUUAUCUCGAAUUGGUGUUCUGGAAGCUCAGAUUUCAUGUCUCAGAGCAGAGCAGAUGCAGUUAAGUAAGUCCCUUGAAAAAGAGA
rnacentral:misc_RNA from 1 species